AUUGAACGCUGGCGGCAUGCCUUACACAUGCAAGUCGAACGGUAACAGGUCUUCGGAUGCUGACGAGUGGCGAACGGGUGAGUAAUACAUCGGAACGUGCCUAGUAGUGGGGGAUAACUACUCGAGAGAGUGGCUAAUACCGCAUGAGAUCUACGGAUGAAAGCAGGGGAUCGCAAGACCUUGUGCUACUAAAGCGGCCGAUGGCAGAUUAGGUAGUUGGUGGGAUAAAAGCUUACCAAGCCGACGAUCUGUAGCUGGUCUGAGAGGACGAUCAGCCACACUGGGACUGAGACACGGCCCAGACCCCUACGGGAGGCAGCAGUGGGGAAUUUUGGACAAUGGGCGAAAGCCUGAUCCAGCAAUGCCGCGUGCAGGAUGAAGGCCUUCGGGUUGUAAACUGCUUUUGUACGGAACGAAAAGCCCCGGGUUAAUACCCUGGGGUCAUGACGGUACCGUAAGAAUAAGCACCGGCUAACCACGUGCCAGCCGCCGCAGUAA
rnacentral:rRNA from 1 species